AAUUCUAAUACUUACAUUACAGACAAAUGUGUGUGUAUGCAUGUGUGCAUAUACGAAUACAUGUACAUAUGCAAAUUUAUACAUGUGAAUGUUUGUCUCUCUCCUUGUCUCUCCGCAUAAAUUCACCAGAGCUCACAUAUGUUUCACCUCAUUGGAAUUUACCUGGGAGUCUUUGGUGUGUUUUAGACAGGAGAUGAGUGGCCCUAGAUGUUUAAAAUGAAACUCACUGUGCAAGACAAAAAGGAAAAAGGCUACUGUAGCUAUGAGAUAAAUAUGCAGCUGGCUUGACGGUUGUGAUCCGAUGUGUCGAGAGGAGAAACCAUCGAAAUAUGAUAUAUGAGCAGAGCUUUGGGAGUCAUCAUCCAGCUGCAACAAAGAUGUAACAAUUGUAGGGAUAAGACAGAAAACUUGAAAGACGAGCUUCAAAUGUUCUGUAUUGACUGUUUUAAAGCAAUAGACAUGACUGAAAGCAAGUGUAUACUGAUGAUCUUGGGGGGCCGUUCCAACUGAAGCCAUUCUAUGAUUCUGUCAUAUGAUUCUAUGUUUAUUUAUAUACAUGCGGUGUGUAGGCAGCUCUGGAAGGGCUGGAAAAUGGCAACAUUUAAAUGCAAUAAUAAUAGAAAUAGGCAGGAAUUAGUGUCUUAAAAUUCCAUAUUGGUAUGGUAUGGCAAUGAGAGGAAAUCAGGUACAUGAAAGCAGGGGAAGAAAUCACUGUGUUAUUCCUGAAGGUACUUUGGAUCCUCCAUGAGGUUGUGCUUCUGGAAUUAAGCUUUCACUUUGGCAGAUACUGCUUUCCAGUUACAAGCCUAUUAAGGCCUUCUCAACAAGAACAUCAAUGAAGAUGUUCUCCAUGUGCAAAACUAUGUUAAUUAUUGUUCUUAUAGUAGUCUCUCUGCCCUUUUCAGAUGCAGAAGAAUCAUUUUUAAACAAAAGCAAUAAAGUGGUGAAAAGAA